UCGGCAAGGAGUCUUUAGCAAUCGUCAAGCAAGUCAAGCCCCUGGUUCCCCUCGCCCAAUAUAAAGCCAGCGGGAAGGGAGUGAGGAAGACGAAAUCAAGGAGGCGGAAAGAAGAAGAGCGGAAAGUAGUGAAUCGUCUGUCCUCAUUGCGAUCAAUGGCGGAGCAGUUGACGGAGGAGCAGAUCGCUUUUUUCAAGGAGGCAUUCAGCCUCUUCGACAAGGACGGAAACGGCUGCAUAACUACAAAAGAGUUAGGCACCAUUAUGAGAUCCUUAGGCCAAAACCCAAGUGAAGCUGAAUUGAGAGAUAUGAUCAGUGAAGUUGAUGCUGACCAAAAUGGAACAAUUGAUUUUCUUGAGUUCUUGAAUCUGAUGACACGUAAAACCAAGGAUGCUGAUUCUGAGGAGGAGCUGAUGGAGGCAUUCAAAGUGUUUGACAAGGACUCAAACGGGUUCAUUUCUGCUCAAGAGCUCCGCCAUGUGAUGGCAACCCUGGGCGAGAAAUUUACGGACGAGGAGGUCGACGAAAUGAUACGAGAAGCAGACAUCAACGGCGAUGGACAAGUCGACUAUCAGGAGUUUGUGCAGAUGAUGUUGGCCAAGUAAUACUCGCAUCAGUUUACCAAACUACCCCGGCUUGUUACAAACUGUUAUGGGCCACAAUCAUGGCUAACCAGCCUUUUUUGGUCGAGUGCUUCACAUGAACAUUUUGGUCUUUAUUUCGAGACACAAAUGAGAGAUCAAUAAGUAUCUGAUCGAUCAGCUCAAUCCAGAUCCUUUGCCUCCUCCUCGUCCUCCAUCGCCUCGUCCCCGAUCUUGAUCACCUCCUCCACUCCUCCGUUCAUAGCCGCUCUGCCUCGGGCGGUGGCCUCUGAUGACGCCACCAGCGCUGCCGCCGCCGGAGCAGAACUGGCGCUGCCCUUGUGGUUGUGCAUCCACACCUUGAACGCCUGCCUGGUCACCCCGAUCCCGCGGCAGAACCUCGAGACCUGAUCCUCCUCCUCGCCUCCGGCCCUGGCACGGCCCCUCGGGAUCUUCCACCCAAGCCUCUCCGCGCAGCGAGCCAUGCGCUGCUUCUGCUCCUCCGAAAACCUCGCCCGCGGCCGCCGCCUCUCGCUCCGCCCAGGCAGGGUGCCGGCGACGCAGAAGUCCGUGCGGUGGAAGUUGCGGUGGCAGCCGCACGCGCCGCACUGCAGCUGGCGGUCUCCGGACGCCGGAAUGAACCUGCAACAGCCGUCCACGGUGUAGCCGGCGCCGUGCCUCAGCGAGUGGUUCCUCAUGCACUCUUUAUACACCUCCCUCACGCCCUCAUGACCCUCCAUCACCAUGGGUUCCAAUGCUUCGCUAUGCGUGUUCUUGGAUUUAUAGAGUAG